rnacentral:lncRNA from 1 species
GCUUCCGUUCAUUAAUAACCAGUGAACAAGAUGAUGGCCAGUCAUUUUGGAUAGAAAAAGACCUCCAUUUCAGAGCGUUUAUUUCACAGCUAGAAGGUAAGUCAAUAGGCAAUUUCUUUCUGUAACUUCUCUCAGCCUGCCUCUCUCUCUGUUCCUCACUCAUUCUUUCUCUCUCUCUCUCUCUCUCUCUCUCUCUCUCUCUCUCUCUCUCUCUCUCUCUCUCUCUCAGUCUCUCUUUGUGUUCUGUGUUUCUCUUUCCAUUUUGUAAGAAAUUAGCAAGAAUUAUGAGUUAGAGUUUAGCUUUCAAAUUUUAUUCUCAGGAAUACAAAUCUAACUUGGAAAUGGCAUCGUUGUCAAAGUUGUAGACGUAUGUAAUACGCAUAUUAUAUAUCUACAUAUAUAUAUAUAUAUGUAUAUAUAUCGCUAAAUCCACAAGUUUUUUUAUUCUCUUUCUGUCUAUUUCCAAGUGUUCCUUUAUGUUGAAGAGCGUAGGCUUGAAACGUAAAAGACUUUCUCACUUUUCCGAGCGUUAAACUAAUACACCUGCUUGUUGUUUAUACAUCUGUCUUCGUCUUUUGUUUUUCUGUAAAUUUCAACUAUAUAGGCGCAAGAGUGGCUGUGUGAUAAGUAGCUUGCUUACCAACAACAUGGUUUCGGGUUCAACUCCACUGCGUGGCACGUUGGGAAAGUGUCUUCUACUAUAGCCUCAGGCCUACCAAAGCCUUGUGAGUGGAUUUGACUGGCGGAAACUGAAAUAAGCCCGUCGUAUAUAUAUAUAUAUAUGUAUAUGUUUGUGUGUCUGUGAAUAAGUACUAGAAUAAGUACUAGGCUUACAAAGAAUAAGUCCUGGGUCGAUUUGCUCGAUUAAAGGUGGUGCUCCAGCAUGGCCGCAGUCAAAUGACUGUAACAAGUAAAAGAAUAAAAGAAUAAGAGAAUAUAUAUAUAUAUAUAUAUAUAUAUAUAUAUGUAUAUACAAGUACAUAUUUACACACACACACACACACACACACACACACACACAUACAUAUAUACUCACAUAUAUAUACACACAUAUAUAUACACACAUAUAUGUAUAAAUAUGCCUAUACGUAUAUAUUUUCUCACAUACAUUCAUAUAUUUUAGAAUAUUUCUAUCUAUCUGAGGCGGUGAGCUGGCAGAAACGUUAGCACUCCGGGCAAAAUGCUUAGAGGUAUUUCGUCUGUCUUUACAUUCUGAGUUCACUUUUUGCCGAGGUCGAUUUUGCCUUUCAACCUUCGGAGGCGAUAAAUUAAGUACCAGUUGCAUACUGUUGUCGAUCUAAUUGACUUACCCCUUCCCCAUAAUUUCGGGCCUUGUACCUAGAGUAGAAAAGAAUAUUUCUAUCUAUUUAUUUGUCUGUCUGUCUUUCUGUCUUCCCUACUGUCUACACACACACACAUAUAUAUAUGCAUACAUACAUACAAACAUAAAAAUAAGUUGAAUAACGUAUAUUUUGUUUGUCUUGUUUCUUUCGAUAGCGAAGUUUGUAUUAUAUAUUUCAGCUUUUCCUCUUCCUCUGCACUUUACAAAAAAAAAAAAAAAAAAAAAUUACCACAGCACAGUAAAAACAAAAGCAAAAAAGCAAAGAAAUGAAACUAAUUUUGUCAAUUGAAGGUUUUUUAUUUUUUGUUCAAGAACAUUAUCGUAAGUACGAUUUUACGAUCGUAUGAGAAACAACCUGGCCAUCAGGUGAUGCCCCAUUUUUGCAAAGAUAGAAAAAUAACCCCAAAAACAAAGAAACGAAAGUACACAGAUAACAAAAAUGAAAAAAAAAAGAGAGGCAAAAACAAGUUCUAGUUAUAUAAGUAUGUAGACACUUGUUUGCGGACUUUAAAAUCUAUUUUAAGUGUAUUGGUCUUGUGUAGUUUUAGCUUCAAGUAUAAUUUCCUACGUAUGGAAUGUAUUGCUAUUUUCCAUUUUCAGCUUUAUUGCAUAAAUAUACUACACACAAAAUCAUCUAUGUACAUAAAUGAAUAUUCACUUCUUUAAUGGGAAGGUAUAAACAGUAUUUUAUAUAUGUACACACACUCAUACACACGCACACAUAAAUUUGUAUAUAUUUAUGUAUGUGUAUAUAAAUAUAUGUGUAUAUAUAUAUAUAUAUAUAUAUAUAGAAAAUAGUAAAAAGUGAAAAAACUACAGAAGGCUUGUUUUAAAAGGUUAAAAAAUAUAUAUUUGAAUCAUUAUGUCAGAAGAAUGUUAUAAUUUUUUUUCAUACAAUGACAGAGUUUUUGAAGAAAUGACCGGUUUCGCGUUCAGCUUUUCAAAUUUCUUACAUCGUUAUGAUUUCUGUAGUUUUUUCACUUUUUACUAUUUUCUAUAUAUUCAACCACGUGCUUUCACACACCAACUUUCUCACCUAUAUAUAUAAAUAUAUAUAUAUAUAUAUAUAUAUAUAUAUAUAUAUAUGCACAUACGCACACACAUAUAUAUGCACACAGACAUUCAAACACACACAUAUUCUCAUACAUACACGUAUGUGGUUUGUGGUUUUAGCAAAGAAUCUAUGCUUUCGUAUAUUUCAAUGUCUCUUCGGAAUCUAAAAUAUUCUAAAUCACUAAACACAGGAAAAAUUACUUCAGAAUAUUUCAUUGUGAUUCCAAUGUUUACAAUUAAUUGGAUGCAUAACAGUUAAAAUGAUUUCUUCACAACACGUGACGUCAAAACUUUUAAUACAAAAAUAGUAAUCAAACACAUCCAUAAUUCGACUCAUUCAGACAGUAAUCAAAUAUCUAUGAUUCGUAAUCAGUCACCUAUAUAUAUACUUAUUUCAGUGCUAUUCGUCAUCUGACAACUAACCAUGGAAAUAUAUUUUUGCCAUCAUGGAUAAAAUCAGAAAAUAUGGCAUACAUUUAUUAACCAUCGUUUAGCUUUUAGUAAAUUUCACGGUGCCAAUAUAAAAUGAAGAUGAAUACUAAUUUUUCAAACAAAAAUACAUUAGGCGCAGGUGUGGUUAUGGGUUCGGUCCCACCGCAUGGCACUUUGGGAGAGUGUCUUCUCUAUAUCUUCGGGCCGACUAAAGCUUUGUGAGUAACUGAAAGAAGAUAUCUGUUUACCCACAUAUAUGUGUAUGUGGACUUUUGCUUAUUCCGCUGUUGGUUUGCUUACGUUCACGUAAUUAGCGUUUCUGCGAAAGAAACCGAUAGAAGUAUCAGACUUUUAACAAAUAACUACUGCGGUUGAUUUGUUUUACUAAACCUUUCAAGGCGAUGCCCCAGCAUGAGCGCAGUCUAAUGACUGAAGCGUGCAAAAGAUGAACGAUUUAGCCUAAAAUCAAAUAAAACAAAUUUCUCAUUUGUAUAUUUGCAUUACAUAUAUGUUAUUAGUUUUCUAAAUUUUAUCAGCACAAUCGCAAUAAACAGCAUUGGAAACCUAUGUCUGCACAAUUUCAUUAAAGGAAUGCAUUUUUCAGAAAAUUAUAAGACACUCAAAUUGCGCCUCUUAUGUUUACUUUCUCUUUGAAUGAUGUGAAGUAUGAUUAAGGAAAUCACUCACUCACUCACUCACUCAACCAACCAACCAACCAACCAACCAACCAACCAACCAACCAACCAACCAACCAACCAACCAACAAACAAACAAACAAACAAACAAACCAACAAACAACCAAUCAACCAACCAAAAUGUAUUUGGGCUGUUAUUAUUAUAGGGCAAUUUUUUAAAUCUCAAAAAUUGCUUGAUUUUAACCUUAUUUUCAUACUUUGAUAGGCUUUAACAUUAUUAUUAAUGAAUUCAUAAACAGCAGGGAGUUCACUCUAGUUUUGAUUACUUUAUGAUAUACUAGUUUAUAUGAUAUACUAUCAAAACUAUGAUAUACUAUCAAAACAAUUUUAAAAAUAACUGUUGUAGAAAUUUAUUAUAGUACAAUAUGAUAUAUGCUUUAUACUUGUAGGCAAAAAAUUCCUGUCUUUUGCAAGCAUUUUUUCAGCAUCAUAAAACUGCUUUCUACAGCGGCUGAUGUCGCUUGACAUUGUAUCAGAUUUUCAUAUUCCGUGGGUGAAACUUUGGGGUUCAUUAAUUGAAUUAUCGAAUUAAUUUGGCUUAUAUUGAAUUUAGAAUCAAUGUAAUUCAUGAUGCAACAUGGGUCUUCGUUGAACUUCAAUUCCUUGAAACUUUUGUAAGCAUCGUAGAUGGUAAAGGCAAUUGAGUAGGCUUUCAGAACCGACUCUUUCAACUGCAUAUAGUUUGAGCAGAUUUGGUUGAGGUUAGUCCUGAUCUCAGUAUUUCGUACAGCUUUUUCGUUCUCUGCGCCAAAAUGUCUUCGUCCUCUACAAUUUUUGUAAUUUAUCCAAGAUUUUCGGUAUAGUAAUUGCUGGCAUCCGACCGGUUGCAUCACCUAGUCACAAUUGGCAGAGUGGAAUAUCCGAUUGUUCUGAAAUGCUCUCGACGGUGUUUGUUUUUUUGCAGUAGCAGCCUUGAUAGUGGCAAUCAGACAAUCGACUGCAGGAUAGCCUUUACUUUUAGAGCUUAGUUGUGCAGUAGGUAGAAGCAGGUUAUAUGGAAGAGCUUUGGGUACAUAAAUUGUAAUGUUUCUGCAGCAACUACCAUAUACUGAGCAGCAUCAGACAACAGUAAGGAACCGCCAUACUUCAUAACGAAUCAGUGAUCAUCUGAGCGAUGACUUCAGCAGUUAAAGCUGAUUCGAGUGGCAAACAUUUUAUUAAGAACGCUUUCUGAGGAUUCUUAACUGAACCAAUAGGUACUUUAACAUUUUAUUUGUUAUCGAUCUCAUUUUCAUCAACAAUUAAAAAUACAUUUAGAUCAGUCAGGCAACUCUUGCAAUUUUCAACAGCGUUUAUCAGCAUAUUUUCGGCAUGUAGACUGAAUUAGUAACAUCUUAUUGAUAGAAUCAAUGAGACUUCUCAAACUUGGAUUAGUGAGCUUAUGCAAAGGAAUAUCUGCCACAAAAAACACAUCGGUCACCAUUGCACCCCAAGAUUUAUCGUUUUCGGUAAAUUCAAUCAAUUUGAUAAUUGGUUGUUCACUUUUAGUAGUUUUUAAAAAAUAGUUUUGAUGAUUUUUUGCUUCAUUCUGUGCGACUCAACAAAAUGCCUUCGACAUCUACGUGGUACAGUCAAUACAUUACAAUAUAUCAAUAAAUUUACUUAUUCUUUUAGUAUCUAAUAAAAAGAAAAUUCUAAUUAGAUUUCCAUUUUUUAACCUCAUUUUAUCUUUAUUUCACGAUUUUAACUUCAUUUCUUUUUAAAAAGGGAAUAAUUACGAUGAUCAAUCAUAAAAAGCUUCUUAUUUUGGGCUGUAGCCGCGAAACGAACGUAUUUGUACACAGGCCAACAUACAUGCCAACGUACAAACGCAUAUAUAUAUAUAUAAAACUCUAUGUACAUGUCUUAUACCUAAAUGCAUAUACAUAUAUAACUAAACAGACAUAUAUACAUAUGAACAUACAUAUGCACUCAUGUAUAUGUACCCCCAUAUAUAUAUAUAUACAUAUAUAUAUAUAUAUAUAUAUAUAUAUGUAUAUAUAUACAUAUAUAUGUAUAUAUAUAUAUAUAUAUAUGUAUACAUAUGCAUGUACAUAGGCGUAGGAGUGGCUGUGUGGUAAGUAGCUUGCUUACCAACCACAUCGUUCCGGGUUCAGUCCCACUGCGUGGCACCUUGGGCAAGUGUCUUCUACUAUAGCCUCGGGCUGACCAAAACCUUGUCAGUGGAUUUGGUAGACGGAAACUGAAAGAAGCCCGUCAUAUAUAUAUAUAUAUAUAUAUAUAUAUAUAUAUAUAUAUAUAUAUAUAUGCAUAAAUGUGUAUGUGUUUGUGUGUUUGUGUUUGUACCCCCAGCAUCGCUUGACAACUGAUGAUUGUGUAUUUACGUCCCCGUAACUUAGCGGUUCGGCAAAAGAGACCGAUAGAAUAAGUACUAGGCUUACAAAGAGUAAGUCCUGGGGUCGAUUUGCUCGACUAAAGGCGGUACUCUAGCAUGGCCACAGUCACAUGACUGAAACAAGUAAAAGAAUAAAAGAGUAUAUGCAGACACAUACACACACAUACAGAGAAACACACACACCCAUACACACACACACACACCCAUACACACACACACACACACACAUAUAUAUAUAUACAUACACACACACUUUCAUGUACAAACGUAAGCAUAUCCAUAUACACACAAACAUGCAUUUAUAUAAUUACAUAUAAGCAUAUGUAUCCUACAUUUACAUAUAACUGCAAGCACCCAAGUAGUAUAAAUACACACACACACAUAUAAACAUACAUAUAUAUUCAUACAUACUUGUAUGUAUGUAUGUAUGUAUAUAUAUAUAAAGGUGUAUUUGGUCUUACUUGCCAUAAAUUGAUACCGCAUGUUUAGAUAUUUCAUUCAUUCUUUCUAAUAUAUAUCUGUUUAUUUAUGUCGUAUAUUAAGUGUAUAUAUAUAUAUAUAUAUAUAUAUAUAUAUAUAUAUAUAUAUAUAUAUAUAUAUAUAUAUACACUUAAUGCCACGACAUAAAUAAACAGAUAUAUAUUAGAAAGAAUGAAUGAAAAAUCUAAACAUGCGGUAUCAAUUUAUGGCAAGUAAGAGCAAAUACACCUUUUUGUUGAAUAGCUGUGCAAAUAUGGUGCAUAAGGUCAUUGAGUAAGGAUUUCUUCCAGAGAAGAAGAAUUAAGGAAUACCCUUAAUAAAGUAUAUUAAUAGUUACCAGUUCCAUCGUCGAAGUAUUAAGGAAUAUCUUUAAUAAAAAAUGAAAAUAAACACCACUAACCAAGAAUUUUGAUGCCAAAAUCACUUAUGUUCUGACUUCACUGUCUGAUUUCAUGCACUUAGCACUGGUAUAAAACUGUGAGCAAUUUUCAUCCAUUUGUGUACACAGCUGGACAAUAACAUAAUUAUGUUUUGCAAGUUUUAUGCUAACAAAGUGAAAUGAGCUCAGAAUUCUUAAUCUAGAUUGAAUCCUUAGCAACUGGAUGUUCAUUGCCUUCAUUGCCCAUCCAAUGCAAAGCCUUAUAUUAUACCGAAAGUGAUGUCGUAUUCCUUCCAAGAUGUACAUCACUAUCAGCACAUAUUUAAUUAUUGGAUCUGUGUCUGGUACAAGUUUCCUUAUCCGCUUGUUGUUGAUAUGAUGUAAAAGUAGUAGUAAUAUCUAUUUGAACUGUGACCCAUGUAUUCUUGGUUGCAAUGACAGUGUUCUUGUAAUUUCUAAGCAUUGCGGAGUGACUCUUGCUCUCGCUCUUUGAUUAACCAACAACCUCUCACUUUUAUUGUCUUCUACCGUGAACAUUAUAUUCCAUAAUGGGCCUCCAUAUCUUUUCCAAAAUAAAUUAUGGAUUUAUUUAAAAACAAAUGUUUAACGAGUGUACAGUCCUUAGCGGCCGUCAUAAAAAGCAAAAUACCAGUCCAGAACGGUGAGUUGGUCGAACGCUAGAGAGACCGCAAAUAAGCUUUUUAGUAUCUGUUUCGACUCUGUGAGUUUUUGGAUUAGUGGAUGCAACUCUGAAUAAUUCUAUCAAGAUCUUUAACCCAUUCCUUAGUCCAACUAAGAAUUGUAGUAUUGUAACGGAUGGCCACCACAGCUCAGCUAUUGAUAGCUGUGAUCAAUAUUCUGAAAUGCAUUUCUCUCUUCAAUAAUUUUUUAGAUUUGUAAAAUAUAUAUUUCUUUCACAUUUGUUUUCAUAUCUCUGUUUAAAAUACUAUCAAAUUCUAGUAUAUUGAGAUACACAUUGCUAACUCUUUCAGGAUCAUCGUCACUUUUUCCAAAUGUCUUUUCAAGGUAGCUAUAACAUAUUUUGAGCUGUCAAACUCCAAUUCAAAACCCUUGUAGGAAUAAUAUACAAAUUGCAAACACAUAGUUUUAUUUUCGGAUACUGUGAACAACUUUAAAUCAUUUGAAAAUAAAAAUUGGGCUAAUUUCAUGGGCUUCUUCUCCAAAUUUGUGUCCAAUCUAUUAUCAUCAUCAUAAUGAUCAUCAUCAUCAUCAUCAUCGUCGUCGUCGUCGUCACCGUUGUUGUUAUUAUUAUUAUUAUUAUUAUUAUUAUUAUUAUUAUUAUUAUUAUUAUUAUUAUUAUUAUUAUUAUUAUUAUAUGUUUGACUUUUGUUUUGUAUUUGUACAAGUUGAUUCCAAGUCUCACCCAGAGACCUCAAGAGACAACAAGUUAGAAGUUCAUGUUGGUGUUAUGCCUAGGGUGUCAUAUAUUUUGUUUUGCACAUAGUAUUGUUCUAGAGAAAGUUUAAGAAAACGUCAGAAAAUUAUAAGUUUGUUUUAAAAUUUGGGAUUACAUAGACAGUAUUUUACGUAGGAUAUGGGCAGUUCCUAUGAGCAAUAUCUUUUGAAUUUCUGCCAUUUUGGAGUUUCCUUUUAUCUGAGCUAAGUAGCAACCAGCCCUUUUUGCUAUCAUGCCUAGGGCACCUAUAACAACAGUUAGUGUUUUAGUCAUCAGGUUCCACAUUUUGCUAUUUUCUAUUUCAAGAUCUUUAUACUUGCUCAGUUUUUUGUAGGUCUUGACAGAUACAUUUAUAUCGAUUAGGACAAUCAUAUCAAUGAGGAGGCAUGAUUUAUACAGUUACUUGUAUUUCUUUCCAUUAUGUGUUUUUCGUAAUUUUGGUAAUAAUGUCUGGCCUAUUUGCAACUAUUUUUCUGUCAGUUUUCAAACAGGGAUCUUACUGCUGAUAGGCGGAAAUACAAUUUACCAACAGUUAAUGAAAUAGCUGUGGUCUUCAGCAAUACUGACUGCGAGCCACCAUUCAACAGAAAUUUCAAGGUUUACCUAAGAAAUAAUGAAGUCCGUAAUCAGUCUGAACAUUCUUAGCCCCAACCUUGACCCGAUGACGUUUGUAUUGUUCUUUCCAUAUGGAGAGCCUAGAUGGCAACCGCAUUUGAUUGGUAAUAAAAACUCAAAGCAAAAUAUUACAAUGCUCCAACAUAAUGUAUCUCUUACAGCAGUUAGAGAUGGUGAAUUCAACCCAGUUAUUCAUGGAGGCAAGUUCUUCCAGCAAUGUGCAGGAGAUACUUAUCUGCAAGUUGAAGGUAACAAUAUAAAUUUUGUGAAGAACCAUCAAUAUAAGUUAAAAGUAGAACAAUACCGUGGUCUUGCUGAUCAUUUACGGAAUACUGCUAAUGCUGCAAAUGCUUAAGUAGGACGCACAGCUAUCUUGCCUUCAUCAUUUCAAGGCUCCCUAGGAAUAUGCAUGAGCGCUAUCAAGACGACAUGACUAUUGUGCGCAUUAGUACAUAGUCCUCCUGAUAUCUUCCUCACAAUAACCUGUAAUCCUAAUUGGCAAGAAAUUAGAGAGAAUUUACUUCCAGGCUAAACUUCAUCAGAUAGACCGGACUUGUUAGCCCGUGUAUUCAGUAUAAAUAUGCAUGAACUCUUGAAUGGCAUCACUAAGAAACGUAUAUAUAUGCUACACCAUUGAACUUCAAAAGAGGGGCUUAUCACAUGCCCACCUGUUGAUCAUUUUUCACCCUGAUGAUAAAUUGGAUGAUUCUGAAAGAAUUAAUUAAAUUGUCUGUGCCGUGAUUACGGAUCCGUCACUGAACCCUUACUAUAUGAAACAGUGAAAAGGCGCAUGAUCCAUGGCCCUGUGGUGAUCUCAACCCUAUUGCUCGCUGCAUGGAAAAUAACAAGUGUCUUAAAGAAUUUCCAAAGGAGUAUUAACAAGAGACACGGAUAAACCCAAUCAGCUACCCUUUGUACAGGCGACAUCGAGGGACAUUAAUUCGCGUUCGCAACUAUGCAAUAGACAACCGAUGUGUAGUGCCCUGCAAUAAAUAUCUGUUCAAUGCUCAUAUUUGUGUUGUGAUUUGCCUCUUCGUCUCCUCUGUGAAAUAUAUUUACAAGUAUAUCUACGAGGGAUAUGACUCAAUCAAUGCUAACAUCAAUGGAACAACUUCAAACAAAGAGAUUGUGAAGGAUGAAAUACACAACCAUUUAGAUGUUAGGUAUUUUAGUGCUCCUGAAAGUAUGUGGCGCCUGCUUGAGAAUAAAAUGCAUGAUAGUUAUUCGUCUGCAUGUUCACCUGUCACAAGAA